AUGAUGUACAAGAACAGUUUCAGCAAAUGUUGUAGAUUGUUUAAGCAUUAAAAUUACGUUGAAAUUAAUUCGAUAUACACACAAAUUGUCACUUGUUUUGAAGUAAUUUUGGAGAAAAUUGAUUUCGUCUUUCAUUUACACUACUUCAAAUUUAUAAUAAUAAAAAUGUAGUUUAUUAAAGUUGAAGUACAGGAUACUCGUAUUUGUAAUACAAAAUUAACAUUUUUAGCAGUCCAAAAUUUACGAAAUUUACAAAUAAGAUCGACAAAAUCAGUGCUUUACGCGCGUUUACCUAAACGUCCAUCAGAAAAAAAUCGUUACUAAUUAAGUGACUCUGUUUAAAAAAAAAAGAUCCAUUAGAAUGAAAGAUAACAAGACGUGCUAAUAGAAACCAGUUUAUACUUUUUAUUUCUAAUAGUUAACAAAAGGUGUACAAUUUCAUCGACUAAAUCUAUCAAUUUGACAUUUUUGCAACUAAACUCGUCAACUCGAUAACGGCCUCUUUGCACUUUAAUACACUCUGACUCGGACCACUCUAACCUAUUUACAAAAAAAUAACGACAUCCAUCGUUAUGUAAUGUCAAACUUGUAGAGAAAACCUCAAAAUGCUAUUUCUUGUUUACUUAUCUACGUAUUUCCUUUGUUAUUAUUGAAUAAUUUGUGAAAAUAUAUUCGAGUCUAAGAAAAGUUGGCAACCUUACGAAAUUAGACUUUUGUAAAGAUUGCAGUGGUGAAAAUAAGACAAACAUCCAGGACAUAACAAUUGAAAUUGACAUUUCCUGCAGGAGUAACGUUGCGAAUGGAAUGUUACCUUUACAAUCACGAUGGCAAUGUGCAAGACUCGGAAAAACGCCCGUCACUUUGAAAACAACCCUGUACCGUACAACAGAGACUUUCUUUACCCAUGUCAACGUUUAAUAUGCCCCAAUGACGAUGACGUCCGUAGACUUUGAACGAACAUUACACACAAAUACACAACACAACACACUACACAUAAAUAGAUCCUACAUUAAGGCUAUGUUUUUAAAAUGACGGGUGAUUUUCCGAGCCUUGGCAAUGCUUUUUGGAACCAUCACUGCAAUGAAGAGACUUGCAGAGUAGUAUAGAGAUUCUCAGGUUUCACUAAUUACCUCUGCUGGAAGUAAUAUACGUGUUAUUUGGACUAAAAGGAUGAUUAAUUGUGUUCAUUUAAGUAGUAGAAAGAAUAAUAAAUUAGCUUACCAAAACAAAAA